CUAUAAUUAAACUCAAACUUUCCAUCUGUAUUAUUUUUCCAUUUUGUUGUCCAAAUAGUGACAAUGUCACUGAUAUCCAGACUCCGUGACAAUAUUGAAGAGUUGCGCCGAUCAUUUGAAUCUAGAGAGAAUGCUCUUGAGGCAUUACAGCAGUCACUUUUGGAGAAAGAACAGGUUCUGAAUGAUAUGCUCCCCCUUGAAGUUUGCUUUGUCAAUGCUCUAUUUGUGUGCGUGUGCACUCAUGCGUGUGCUUGCACAUAUGUAAUGUCUGUAUGGGCUCUCUUAUGCUCUUGGUAAACCUAUUGCGUCUCCUACAGUUCAUGGAUGUAUCAGUUUCAAACCUCUCAAUUUCUUCUUUAUUCUCUUAAUCCUAAUAUAUUGUAACUGACAUUACCUGCCAUGCCUUUGUGCCAAAGUCUUCAAAUUUUAACUAAUUUUAUUGCACUGUCAAUUUUAUUACUCAGUUUGGGAUCUUCAAUGGCUUGCUAUCACUUAUAGUUGUGAAAUUUGAGAUCCUGUGAAAUGUGUUUCAUCAUGCUUUAUGUUUUGCCAGUCCUGCUAAAUGCAUUUUUUGAAUGCAAAUUUUCUGCAGCGCCUAUAUAUUCAAGUUACAAGCUAAUUGUUUUUUAGCUAAUAAUUUUUGUAUUUUCUGUUAAAUUGUCCAAUAUACAAUCUUUACAUUUUUUUCCUGUUCAGUCAUAUGUCUGGAGAAUUGAUAUUCUUUUAUUUGUUUCCUAUGUUGUAUGUUAAUUUGCUUUACUUUUAGGUGUUGGAAGACAUGAAAGGUUUACUACAAUCUGCAGAAGAGAAAACACAAGCUUCAAUAGUUGAGCUCUCUGCUAAACAUCAGAA
rnacentral:misc_RNA from 1 species